CUCUGACAACCAGAAAAAAAGCUCUUACAGAUAAAUGGCAUGUUUACAUCCAUUUUUUUCCCCUGUCAUAAUAAACCCAAAUCAGUUUCCUUCUAAUUGAUAAACGUUGAUUGUAUUUGAGAGAAUGACACAUGGCUUCAAGGAUCGGUUGAGUCAAUUUUAUUAAGGCCCAAAGGGGUGAUAGAAGAUUAAUGUUUGCCUUCUUGGGACUGGCUGAGCCACCCUCUUCCCAAGAAGGAAGCACGAUAUAACUCAUGCAGCUGAGACAGUAUAGAUGAGUUCCUCAACUGGUUGGACCCUGAGGGUCACACACCCCAGGGACAGCACUGUCAAUGCAACCGUAUCUCACCAGAUACUAAUGCAGCCAUAAAUUUGAGGAUGCUCCAGGCCCGAUCAUUUCUUUUUUGAACUGGCAACUGAUUCACCCACCUUGGGAAAAAAGAGAUUUUGGAAGAAGGUCAGAAAGUGAAGGCACAUAUUUGCUUGCUCAACAAUAUAUUCUCCUCCAACAUAGAAAUGACCCCGCAGUACAAUUAGCACCAAAAUAUUCCCCACCACACGAGUCCUAAGAAAGAAGUAAAAAUACUGACAAAGGAAACGUGCUUCAUCACCUUUUAGCAAAAGAGGAACAGCUAAAAGAAGAAGAUAAUGUGUCAGAAGAAAAGUACUCUUUAGCAUAAACCACAGCAGGAGAUAAGAAGGAAAUACAGAGAUGGGACUCAUCAGAGAGAUGACAUGACAGAACAACAAACCGAAUCCACUGAGAACCAGGGCUGGAUGCAGGGACCGGCUCACUCUACUGUCUCUCAGAAAGCCAACAGUUUUUCCUAAGGAACUGCAAAAUAUUUACAGACACUUGACAGUUCUCUAGGUGGCACAGUUGGAGGACGCGCACUCCAGCUUUCAGGAAUGUCCUGUGAGGGAGGUUUUAUCUGCGUUGCCCAGCAGGAGACACUAAUCAGGGAAGCUGCUGGUUCGCCCGACCACACUGGUUAACGACGGUCUCCACUGAGCCUCCUUGGAAACAGGAGAGGAAAUAUCACACUAUUUCAUGUGAAAUCGCACUUUUAAUCAAAGCAAAAGGGGAAAAUACUCUAUAGUCUGUCUCACAGUUGUGCCACAAUGGGAAUUUCUACCAAAGUCUAUGAUCAUUCUUCAUUUUUCACUCUUUAUAGAUUUUCUCUCUUAAAAUUCAGGUUUUAUUAUAUCAGUUAUACAUGAGUUGCAAAAUGUUAAUGGGACUUCUAGUCUCAUUUGAGAUCCCAAAAUUAACAACAGUGGAUGAUAAAACCUCCACCUUCUAGUGAGAGGAGGUAGGCCACAUAUGCAGGACCUGCUAAUAGGUGGUCAAACCCAAUAUUGUGACUUUUACACCAUCAUCUACCUCCAGCCCAGAUACAAGAGACUGAUCAGAUGGCAAGAGUCCAUUUUUGUAAUAGAGUUGACUGUCGAAUGAGAAUGUACUAGCAUUGUUCCUUCAUUUCCUCAUUCUUCUCCAUCUCAAACCAGGUAGGAGUGUCCCAUGAGACUUAUGUCACCAUAGGAAUGGAACAUGAUGAGAGAAUUCUUGGGGAGAACUGACCUGUGUUCCCUAGAGUUGGGGAAGCCCUGAGUUUGGAGAGCAGCAGCAUGUGGCAUUGUAUUUGUCCACAGCAAAACAAAGGCAUCAUCCUGGACCAUGAGGGAAGUAACACAGAGGAUGGAGAAGAUAAACUACUAACUUUCCAUUACUAAGAGAAUGGAUCUGCCCCAAUUAAAAUUCAAAGUGAAAUAUAGUUGAUGGAUUUAAUUCAGUUGGAACAGAUUAGACAGAUUCCAUUUCCUACAUGCCAAUAAUGCUUAGGGAAGGACUAAGGAAUGGAAGAGGAGAUCAAACACACAGCCUCCUAAUAAACACACCUGUGCACAGCACGUAUAUGUACACAUAAUAGCCAGCACGUCUUUCCUCAUGAGGUUUAGAUUGUCAGAGGGGGUUAACACAAUUUACAAUGGGAUCGUGUCUUUUUAUUUGCAGUGCAAAUAGGAAAGGACUUUUCAUCCAAAACCGUUCCAAUGCCGAACGAGAACAAAAUUUUCAAAGUAAGAAGGAUAAAGAGAAUGGAAUCUGCAUCUCCCUUUGAAGAGUCCAGUCCUAACUGCCAAGAAUAACAGAACAAAUAGAUUCCUGGGAGAGGAUAAGCACCUCUUCAAUCCUGGGAGCUUUGUCAUUUUUCAAAACUAGCACAUUGUUCAUAGUUUGCCACAGUGAUCUUCAAGUGGAUAAAUGGAUGUGGUCAGAAGGAAGUUAAUUCCCAUCUAGUCCCUUUUUAAGGAUAACAGAUAUCCUCAAAGAGAAGUGGCAAAAGACAAUGGUAGAUGGAGAUAAUAAAAGCACAGUCUGAAAAUGAAUGGAUUCAGAAACCAAUUAAAAUAAAGCAAGGCUUUAAAAGAUUUCUUAAAUUAGUCACGUGUCACAGUACUGGAAAAGCAAUGGUUUCUCUCAGCCAUUCCUUCUCAAAUGUUUUGUUUUUGUUUCCAGAAAUAACAGGUUUAAUUAAAUGUGCAAGAUACA